rnacentral:rRNA from 1 species
CCUACGGGAGGCAGCAGUGGGGAAUAUUGCACAAUGGGGGAAACCCUGAUGCAGCGACGCCGCGUGAGUGAAGAAGUAUUUCGGUAUGUAAAGCUCUAUCAGCAGGGAAGAAAAUGACGGUACCUGACUAAGAAGCCCCGGCUAACUACGUGCCAGCAGCCGCGGUAAUACGUAGGGGGCAAGCGUUAUCCGGAUUUACUGGGUGUAAAGGGAGCGUAGACGGCCAGACAAGUCAGAAGUGAAAGCCCAGGGCUCAACCCUGGGACUGCUUUUGAAACUGCCGGGCUGGAGGGCAGGAGAGGUAAGCGGAAUUCCUAGUGUAGCGGUGAAAGGCGUAGAUAUUAGGAGGAACACCAGUGGCGAAGGCGGCUUACUGGACUGUAACUGACGUUGAGGCUCGAAAGCGUGGGGAGCAAACAGGAUUAGAUACCCGGGUAGUC